rnacentral:rRNA from 1 species
GAUGAACGCUGGCGGCGUGCCUAAUACAUGCAAGUCGAGCGAACAGAUGAGGCGCUUGCUCCUUGGACGUUAGCGGCGGACGGGAGAGUAACACGUGGAUAACCUACCUAUAAGACGGGGAUAACUUCGGGAAACCGGAGCUAAUCCCGGAUAAUAUAUUGAACCGCAUGGUUCAAUAGUGAAAGACGGUUUUGCUGUAACUUAUAGCUGGAUCUCGGCCGCAUUAGCUAGUUGGUAAGGUAACGGCUUACCAAGGCAACGAUGCGUAGCCGACCUGAGAGGGUGAUAGGCCACACUGGAGCUGAGACACGGCCCAGACUCCUACGGGAGGCAGCAGUAGGGAAUCUGCCGCAAUGGGCGGAAGCCUGGCGGAGCAGCGCCGCGUGAGUGAUGAAGGUCUUCGGAGCGUAAAACUCGGUUAUUAGGGAAAAACAAAUUUGUAAGUAACUGUGCACGUCUUGACGGUACCUAAUCAGAAAGCCACGGCUAACUACGUG